rnacentral:lncRNA from 1 species
AUGCUAUUUAAAGCAGGUAGUCAAGUGCCUUGGGAUUGUGUGUGUGUGUGUGUGUGUGUGUGUGUGUGUGUGUGUGUGUGUGUGUGUGUGUGUGUGUGUGUGUGUGUGUGUGUGUGUGUGUGUGUGUGUGUGUAGAACCUGUGUGUGUGUGUGAGUGUGUAAGUGUGAGUGUGUGUGAGUGAGUGCACAAAAGGUGAACAUGCAAGACAAAUGAUUUAACUGACUUUGAACGAGGAACGAUGGUGGAUUCUGGCUGCACUGCCAUGAAUUAUGACAAGAAUGGCAAUGCGCUGGGAGUGUGCUAAUGCGUGGCAAUGUCACCGGGAUGUCAAGACAAACUGCCAGCUGGCGGUCCUUUCGGGGUCACAGACAGCCCUGUAUUCCUAGCCUUCCCUCUGACGCUCGCCUUCGGUAUGUCCUUGUCCCUGCAUGUUCAGGUAUGCCUUUCCUAUUUUCAUUAACGCUGGAGGAGUAGCCUCUUUUCACACUGGCUCUAAUUAGCGCAUAUGUUUUACAGUGAGGAACCGUAAUUCGCCGCUGACCUCGUCGUUCCUGUGAUAACUGUCUGAUAACUGCCUGAUCACAAAGGUGCUGCUGUUUUGUUUAAACCUGACAAUGCGUGUAUGAUUCAGCAUGCUCGUGACUCUGCUAAACUGUUGUUGUGCAUGUUGGUCUGACCUAUAUCUGAGCUGGGUUUUCGUUUUCUUUGUCGUGUUCUUUUUGUCUGGGCAUUGUACCAUCUUGUCAACUCCAAUGGAGUAAUGCUUCUGUCUAGUGUGUUUUCUGUCUGCAUGUGACUGGGGAUAAGGCUGGUGGCGCUGUAGCUGUCCUGGUGCAUGCUUGUUGUUUGUUCUGGUCUGUAGUUAGUCCCUAUGCAUGAUUGCUAUUACUGUCUGAGUGAUUCGUGCUUAGGAUGGACUGUUGAUAUCCCCUGGUGCAAUAAUUGUUUUCAUUUUAUUUGUUAAGCAGUUGCUAGGUGCUUCCAGAGGGAGGCUAGGCACCUGGUGGUGGGCCCCUGUCACUGUGUAUCAAGCUGGUUAGUGUGCUGUGGGUGUGCCGUGAUUGUGCUGUGUGUGCAGUGUGCUGUGGGUUGCUUGCCGUGUCAUAGUUCACCUUAUAACCACUUCUUUGAGUGUGUGCACGUGUGAGCGGUGUGGAUCCAAGAGCACGCCGUCUGCUAGUCUGCCUCCCUCAGGUAAGUCCUACUUAGCACUGCCUAGACUCUAGUCUACUAGUUUCCCUGUUUUAGCCUUACUGACAAAUGAUAUUCAAUAAAUAUAUUUUUGUAUCUUGCUAACUUGUCA